rnacentral:rRNA from 1 species
AUACGUAGGGGGCGAGCGAUGUCCGGAAUGAUUGGGCGUAAAGAGCGCGUAGGCGGCGCGGUAAGUCUGGAGUGAAAGUCCUGCUUUCAAGGUGGGAAUUGCUUUGGAUACUGCCGCGCUAGAGUGCAGGAGAGGUUAUCGGAAUUCCCGGUGUAGCGGUGAAAUGCGUAGAGAUUGGGAGGAACACCAGUGGCGAAGGCGACUUACUGGACUGUAACUGACGCUGAGGCGCGAAAGUGUGGGGAGCAAACAGGAUUAGAUACCCUGGUAGUCCACACUGUAAACGAUGAAUGCUAGGUGUAGGGGGUAUCGACCCCUUCUGUGCCGCAGUCAACACAAUAAGCAUUCCGCCUGGGGAGUACGGCCGCAAGGUUGAAACUCAAAUGAAUUGACGGGG